GACGAACGCUGGCGGCGUGCCUAAUACAUGCAAGUCGAGCGGACCUGAUAAAAGCUUGCUUUUUGAAGGUUAGCGGCGGACGGGUGAGUAACACGUGGGCAACCUGCCUGUAAGACUGGGAUAACUUCGGGAAACCGGAGCUAAUACCGGAUAAUAUAAAGAACCUCCUGGUUCUUUAUUGAAAGAUGGUUUCGGUUAUCACUUACAGAUGGGCCCGCGGCGCAUUAGCUAGUUGGUGAGGUAACGGCUCACCAAGGCGACGAUGCGUAGCCGACCUGAGAGGGUGAUCGGCCACACUGGGACUGAGACACGGCCCAGACUCCUACGGGAGGCAGCAGUAGGGAAUCUUCCACAAUGGACGAAAGUCUGAUGGAGCAACGCCGCGUGAGCGAAGAAGGCCUUCGGGUCGUAAAGCUCUGUUGUUAGGGAAGAACAAGUGCGAGAGUAACUGCUCGCACCUUGACGGUACCUAACCAGAAAGCCACGGCUAACUACGUGCCAGCCGCCGCAGUAAUAC
rnacentral:rRNA from 1 species